rnacentral:rRNA from 1 species
GAUGAACGCUGGCGGCGUGCCUAAUACAUGCAAGUCGAGCGAACAGACGAGGAGCUUGCUCCUCUGACGUUAGCGGCGGACGGGUGAGUAACACGUGGAUAACCUACCUAUAAGACUGGGAUAACUUCGGGAAACCGAAGCUAAUACCGGAUAAUAUAUUGAACCGCAUGGUUCAAUAGUGAAAGACGGUUUUGCUGUCACUUAUAGAUGGAUCCGCGCCGCAUUAGCUAGUUGGUAAGGUAACGGCUUACCAAGGCAACGAUGCGUAGCCGACCGGAGGGGGUGGUCGGCCACACUGGAACUGAGACACGGUCCAGACUCCUACGGGAGGCAGCAGUAGGGAAUCUUCCGGAAUGGGCGAAAGCCUGACGGAGCAACUCAGCGUGAGUGAUGAAGGUCUUCGGAUCGUAAAACUCUGUUAUUAGGGAAGAACAAAUGUGUAAGUAACUAUGCACGUCUUGACGGUACCUAAUCAGAAAGCCACGGCUAACUACGUGCCAGCAGCCGCCGCCG